rnacentral:rRNA from 1 species
ACGCCUACGGGGCGCAGCAGUAGGGAAUUUUCGUCAAUGGGCGCAAGCCUGAACGAGCAAUGCCGCGUGAACGAGGAAGGUCUUCGGAUCGUAAAGUUCUGUUGAAGGGGAAAAAGAGCGGAGAGAGGAAAUGGUCUCCGAUUGAUAUUACCCUUCGAGGAAGUCACGGCUAACUACGUGCCAGCAGCCGCGGUAAUACGUAGGUGGCGAGCGUUAUCCGGAAUGAUUGGGCGUAAAGGGUGCGCGGGCGGAUGUAUAAGUCUGAAGUAAAAGCCAUCGGCUCAACCGAUGUAAGCUUUGGAAAC